AUUGUGUAAAAGUGUGUUAAAAAGAAAACCCACCAGAAUAACAGAGGUUUAUCUCUCUGGGCUUUAAACUGUCAAAUAUAUUGAGGUCUGGUUUUGGUGUUGGUAACAUACAGUGACGUGAGAGGAGGAAUAGGUUGAGGGAGGAGCAACACUGUCAGAGCAGAGCAGAACAGAAAAGGACUCCUACUGUCAGAUGCAUUCAAUAUCUAAACCAGACAGGACACAGAUACUGCCUGUAAGAUGAUGUCACUGCAUUACUGUGUCAUUUUCCAGCUUCUUCUGACCAUACUAAAAGGUGUCAGCUGUGAAGAACUCACUCCAGAUAACGAUGAAGAGUUCAGUUUAGAAGGCAGCACUGUUACUCUGUCCUACAAAUACUCCAAACAAGCAACUGGUAGUGAUUAUUUCUUCUGGUAUCAACAAUAUCCAGGAAAACCACCAGAGUUCCUCAUCUCUCAUUUAGGAACAGGAAGACCAAUAUCAGAUCCGGUCUCUGGACUGUCUUUUAAAGUGAGUGAGGAUAAAACCCAAAUGGAUCUGCAGAUCUCCUCUGCUGCAGUGACUCACUCUGCUCUGUACUACUGUGCUGUGAGGCCCACAGUGACAGGAAACCCACAGACUCUGUACAAAAACCUUUGGAGCAAAGACAAGAGAAUACUCCACAACGUCCACUAGAUGGGAGUCACACACUGUUAACCUUCCAUGUAUUUUAUGAUACAGUCUGGAUUAUUUGUAGUGGUGAUAGAAACAACAGAAAAUGAAGCACUAAAGGUAAAACAGACUGAGGGAAAGUGUUGUUUCAUACGACAUAAACUCUGAUGAUAAUGAAGGGUUGUAGAAUAUCAUAUAUAUGAACAAUACAUCUUCAUAAUCGAGUGUAACAGCAAAUCCUCUGACAUGUAAUAGAGCUCAAAUUAAACUCUGUAGGUUAUUUGUUUUUGUGAGGCCCUCUCUUACAUGUUCAUAACUGCCUUGUGCUGGUAAUUCAUAUCAUUUGUCCAGUUCCAGGUAUAAUUUCAUGGUGUUGAGCUUCCUCUGGUGGUCAUUGUUAGGUUACAUGAAGUCCAUUGCACCAGUCUCUAUUUUAGUUACGGCGUACCUGAAGCCAGUGUGCAGUUCAGCAUUUUCUCUCGGUGAAGUUUUGAGAAUAAAUGCCUGUGAGUAUUACGUAACUUGAUUUGUUGUAUAUUAAUGAUAGUUGGAUGACAAAUGAGGCUGUUUAGUUAGCUGUACCCUGUCUGGUUAUCUAGUCAUUUGCUCAGGUUCACGUCAAAUUGAAUUGAUAUUGCCUACCUGGAAACACUGUAUGUCAUUGUUUUAAUGAUUUUAUAGUUGUUUUAUUUGACAGUGUGGUUGCUAUAGAAGUCUCCCUGGAAAUGUAUUAUUGACCUUUGUGAAUGUCAGAUCAG